CCUACGGGCGGCAGCAGUGGGGAAUAUUGCACAAUGGGGGAAACCCUGAUGCAGCGACGCCGCGUGAGUGAAGAAGGACCUCGGUAUGUAAAGCCCUAUCAGCAGGGAAGAAGAAAGAGGGUACUUGACUAAGAAGCCCCGGCUAACUACGUGCCAGCAGCCGCGGUAAUAUGUAGGGGGCAAGCGUUAUCCGGAUUUACUGGGUGUAAAGGGAGCGUUGACGGUUGUGCAAGUCUGAAGUGAAAGCCCCGGGCUCAACCCCGGGACUGCUUUUGAAACUGGGGAGCUAGAGUGCUGGAGAGGUAAGUGGAAUUCCUGGUGUAGCGGUGAAAUGCGUAGAUAUUAGGAGGAACACCAGUGGCGAAGGCGGCUUACUGGACAGUAACUGACGUUGAGGCUCGAAAGCGUGGGGAGCAAACAGGAUUAGAUACCCUGGUAGUC
rnacentral:rRNA from 1 species